UGCCCAAGCUAUCCUUCUUCCGUUCUUAUCUUUAAUCCCUUAGGGGCCAAGCUUCCCUCGGCUGAUCUUUAUCUGCUCCCAAGUCCCAACAGUGUAGAAGUACACUAUAAAUACACCUCCCGUUGGAGCAUCUCUGCCAUCUCCCCAUCAAGCUAGCCUCUCUCCAUUUCUUUCGGUUCCAUCCAUAGGGAAAGCUCUGCUUCUGCUCCUGGGAUUAGACAACAAUAUUCGUUCUUAGAAGAUAGAAGAAGGAAGCUGUGUGGAAAUAUUUUAAGGUGUUCUAGAGAGGGCGAUCAGAGAUCAAUUUUAGGAUCAAGUGGCGACGGCUGAAAAUCCAUAUGACGGCAUAUAGCGUAGAAGUGGAGCGAGAUAUUAAUAAAGGAAAAUAUCACUAGUGUUGUAAUAAAUAAGUUGUACUUGUAAUAUUUGAUAAUGAAUAAAGUGGAGAUCUUGCUUGGCA